rnacentral:rRNA from 1 species
UACGAAGGGGCUAGCGUUGCUCGGAAUCACUGGGCGUAAAGCGCACGUAGGCGGAUUGCUAAGUCAGGGGUGAAAUCCUGGAGCUCAACUCCAGAACUGCCUUUGAUACUGGCGAUCUUGAGUCCGGGAGAGGUGAGUGGAACUGCGAGUGUAGAGGUGAAAUUCGUAGAUAUUCGCAAGAACACCAGUGGCGAAGGCGGCUCACUGGCCCGGUACUGACGCUGAGGUGCGAAAGCGUGGGGAG